rnacentral:tRNA from 1 species
GGGGAUAUGGUGGAAUCGGUAGACACGCUAGCUUCAGGUGCUAGUGGUAGCAAUACUGUGAGAGUUCGAGUCUCUCUAUCCCCA